UACCUGGUUGAUCCUGCCAGUAGUCAUAUGCUUGUCUCAAAGAUUAAGCCAUGCAAGUCUAAGUACGAGCUCUCGUACAGUGAAACUGCGAAUGGCUCAUUAAAUCAGUUAUGGUUCAUUUGAUCGUACAGUUUACUUGGAUAACUGUGGUAAUUCUAGAGCUAAUACAUGCGAGAAGCGCCGACCUCGCGGGAGGCGUGCAUUUAUCAGACCAAAAACCGGCCGCGUCUUCGGGCGCGUUCGCCUUGGUGACUCUGGAUAACUUUGCGGAUCGCACGGUCUAGCACCGGCGACGGAUCAUUCAAGUGUCUGCCCUAUCAACUUUCGUCGGUACGGUAUUUGCCUACCGAGGUUCUUACGGGUGACGGGGAAUCAGGGUUCGAUUCCGGAGAGGGAGCCUGAGAAACGGCUACCACAUCGCAGGAAGGCAGCAGGCGCGCAAAUUACCCAUUCCCGACGCGGGGAGGUAGUGACGAAAAAUAC
rnacentral:ncRNA from 1 species